AUUUUACUACCGAAUUUUUGCGCGUUUUGACUCCAUUUACUAACCACAUUGAGGUUGCGCUCAACGCUGUUGGUGUUCAUGGAUGGCUUGACAGUGAAGGUUUCGGUGAUCGCUUUUUGGAAGUGAUAUGCGAACAGACUUACAUUCAAGCGCGGUAUUGUAAAAAUUGGUUCCGUGCGGUUGUAGGUCCCAGUGAAAAUUUAGACCCAACUCUGAUCCCACUGUUUGAUGCAAAUUUUUUACGCGGAACAUCUGUGAAAGUUAUUGCUCAAUUUGCGCAAAAUUACAACGCGGGUA